CCCGGGGGGGUGGGCUAGACAUGCGUGUCGAACGACCCCAAGCCAACAUGAGGUCGUGGCAUACGGCUCAGUAACACGUGGCUAACCUACCCUCGAGACAGGGACAACCCCGGGAAACUGGGGCUAAUCCCAGAUAGAUGAGAACCCCUGGAAUGGGUUUUCGUCCAAAAGGCACUGCGGUUAUGCUCUGCGGUGUCGCUCAAGGAUGGGGCCGCGUCCGAUCAGGCUGUUGGUGAGGUAAUGGCUCACCAAACCUAUAACCGGUACGGGCCGUGGGAGCGGGAGCCCGGAGAUGGGAACUGAGACAAGGUCCCAGGCCCUACGGGGCGCAGCAGUUACGAAAACUUGUCAAUGCACGAAAGUGUGAACGGGCUACCCCGAGUGCCGUCCGCUGAGGAUGGCUUUUCUCUGCUUUAAGAAGGCAGAGGAAUAAGGCGAGGGCAAGUCUGGUGUCAGCCGCCGCGGUAAUACCAGCUCGCCGAGUGGUAGGGAUGAUUAUUGGGCCUGAAGCGUCCGUAGCUGGCCUUUCAAGUCUCUUGUUAAAUCCAGCGAUUCAAUCGUUGGACUGCAGGAGAUACUGCAAGGCUAGGAGGCGAGAGAAGCCGACGGUAUUUUCGGGGUAGGGGUAAAAUCCUAUAAUCCCGAGAAGACCACCAGUGGCGAAGGCGGUCGGCUAGCGCGCGCUCAACAGUGAGGGACGAAAGCUGGGGGAGCGAACCGGAUUAGAUACCCGGGUAGUCCCAGCUAUAAACGAUGCUGGCUAGGUGUUGAAGCGGCCACGAGCCGCUUCAGUGCCGCAGGGAAGCCAUUAAGCCAGCCGCCUGGGGAGUACGGCCGCAAGGCUGAAACUUAAAGGAAUUGGCGGGGGAGCACCACAAGGGGUGAAGCUUGCGGUUUAAUUGGAGUCAACGCCGGG
rnacentral:rRNA from 1 species